rnacentral:rRNA from 1 species
UACGAAGGGGGCUAGCGUUGCUCGGAAUCACUGGGCGUAAAGGGUGCGUAGGCGGGUCUUUAAGUCAGGGGUGAAUCCUGGAGCUCAACUCCAGAACUGCCUUUGAUACUGAAGAUCUUGAGUUCGGGAGAGGUGAGUGGAACUGCGAGUGUAGAGGUGAAAUUCGUAGAUAUUCGCAAGAACACCAGUGGCGAAGGCGGCUCACUGGCCCGGUACUGACGCUGAGGUGCGAAAGCGUGGGGAGCAA